rnacentral:snRNA from 1 species
UUGCUCACCUCAGCAGCACAUACAGUAAAUUACAGAGAUUAGCAUGGCCCCGACACAAGGAUGACCCACGAAUUCGUGAAGAGUUCCAUAUUGUU